GCCUGCCUGUGACGAAAGUUUAACGGCCGCGGUAUUUUGACCGUGCAAAGGUAGCGCAAUCACUUGUCUUUUAAAUAGAGACCUGUAUGAAUGGCAUAACGAGGGCUUAACUGUCUCCUUUUUCCUAUCAAUGAAAUUGAUCUCCCCGUGCAGAAGCGGGGAUUAAAACAUAAGACGAGAAGACCCUAUGGAGCUUAAGUCGCAAGAACAGAACAUGUUAAUUCUUCUAAUUAAAAUAUGAAACCCAUUGAACCCUGUUCCAGUGUCUUUGGUUGGGGCGACCACGGAGUAUCAAAAAACCUCCACGAGGAAUGAAGACACCUCUUUCCAUCUAAGGGUGACAACCCUAAGAACCAGAACUUCUGACCACUCUGAUCCGGCAAAGCCGAUCAACGAACCGAGUUACCCUAGGGAUAACAGCGCAAUCCUCUUUUAGAGUCCAUAUCGACAAGAGGGUUUACGACCUCGAUGUUGGAUCAGGACAUCCUAAUGGUGCAGCCGCUAUUAAGGGUUCGUUUGUUCAACGAUUAAAGUCCUACGUGAUCUGA
rnacentral:rRNA from 1 species